UACGUAGGGUGCGAGCGUUGUCCGGAAUUAUUGGGCGUAAAGGGCUCGUAGGCGGUCUGUCACGUCGGGAGUGAAAACACGGGGCUUAACCCCGUGCCUGCUUCCGAUACGGGCAGACUAGAGGUAUGCAGGGGAGAACGGAAUUCCUGGUGUAGCGGUGAAAUGCGCAGAUAUCAGGAGGAACACCGGUGGCGAAGGCGGGUCUCGUGGGCCGAUACUGACGCUGAGGCACGAAAGCGUGGGGAGCAAACAGG
rnacentral:rRNA from 1 species